UGAGAGGCAGACCCGAGAGCCCGAGACCCGAGCCGGGAGCCGGGAUGCUAGGGUCCAGGGUAUUCACGCCGGGGGUCUGAAGAUAUUCGUGUACCGCUUCCGUCUAUCAGCCAAACUUCAGCUGACCUUUGGACUCGUUAAACGAGUAGCUUGCAGCCUGAUGUGCAAGGCGCCGGGACUUUUCCACCCGCUGUGGGUCCGGCUUUAAGUCCGGAGAGAAGGAGAAACUGCGCUCGGGGGCUCAGCUCCAGGACACAGCGGUUCCCAGGGCCAGAGACUGAUCUCUGUGGACGCGAGGUCAAGGCGGCGGUGGCUGGCGACUCCCACGCCAAGUUGGGAAGGGGCCGACCAAGCCAGCGAGGGACAGAAGUGAUUGUUCACGCCGGCCCGGCCCAGGAAGGAAGGCGGGAACCUCUCAGCGCUAUCGGAGUUCACGGAGGCGCUCAGAGGCGAGGAAGAAGGCAGGAGGUGCGCCCCGACUCCAGGCUGCCCUGGACCUGCAGAAGAUCCAGGGUAGCGGGGGCUUUUUAGGACCCAUGGCUCACAGUCCCGUAGUUCCUGGGGCAGAGGACACCUCCUUCCCCUCUCUAAGCCUCAGGUUCAUCACCUAAGAAAUACUGAAACCUAAAGCCCAGAGGAUGCGGCAUUGUGUACACUGAGUGAGCCCACCUGUGAAACCCUGUAUUCCAGGAACAGUGUUCACACUUUUCUGAGAAGGCAGGCAGUCGGUUCCUAGUAGUAAAAUCUAGCCCUAGGGAGGUUCAGGAUUCUCAGAACCAGGCAAAUUCAGCGCUGGGCGUGGGGGGGACUGGGAG
rnacentral:lncRNA from 1 species